AGCGAACGCUGGCGGCAGGCUUAACACAUGCAAGUCGAGCGGGCAUCCUUGUGGUGUCCGCGGCCGACGGGUGAGUAACGCGUGGGAACGUGCCCUUCGGUUCGGAAUAACUCAGGGAAACUUGAGCUAAUACCGGAUACGCCCUUUUGGGGAAAGGUUUACUGCCGAAGGAUCGGCCCGCGUCUGAUUAGCUAGUUGGUGAGGUUAUGGCUCACCAAGGCGACGAUCAGUAGCUGGUCUGAGAGGAUGAUCAGCCACACUGGGACUGAGACACGGCCCAGACUCCUACGGGAGGCAGCAGUGGGGAAUAUUGGACAAUGGGGGCAACCCUGAUCCAGCCAUGCCGCGUGAGUGAUGACGGCCUUAGGGUUGUAAAGCUCUUUUCUCCGGGACGAUAAUGACGGUACCGGAGGAAUAAGCCCCGGCUAACUUCGUG
rnacentral:rRNA from 1 species